CCUACGGGUGGCAGCAGUGAGGAAUAUUGGUCAAUGGGCGAGAGCCUGAACCAGCCAAGUCGCGUGAAGGAUGACUGUCCUACGGGUUGUAAACUUCUUUUUUCAAGGAGUAAAGUCAGGCACGUGUGGGUUUUUGUAUGUACUUUAUGAAAAAGGAUCGGCCAACUCCGUUCCAGCAGCCGCGGUAAUACGGAGGAUCCGAGCGUGAUCCGGAUUGAUUGGGUGUAAAGGGAACGUAGAUGGGUUGUUAAGUCAGUUGUGAAAGUUUGCGGCUCAACCGUAAAAGUGCAAUUGAUACUGGCAGCCUUGAGUACAGAUGAGGUAGGCGGAAUUCGUGGUGUAGCGGUGAAAUGCUGAGAUAUCACGAAGAACUCCGAUUGCGAAGGCAGCUUACUAAGCUGCCACUGACAUUGAUGCUCGAAAGUGUGGGUAUCAAACAGGAGUAGAUACCCUAGUAGUC
rnacentral:rRNA from 1 species